UUGGUAAAUUGGAAGCGAAUCUACGCACCCAAAGCAGUUGGAGGACUAGGCAUCAAAAACAUUUCCGCCUUCAGCACGGCCCUGCGGCUGCGCUGGCCCUGGUUUGAGUGGGACGCUAUGGAUAGACCGUGGAAGGGGACUCCUACACCGUGUGACGCUGCUGAUCAACAACUCUUUCAGUCAUGCACAAAAAUUACUAUUGGAAAUGGAGCGAGAACCACUUUCUGGACUGAUCGUUGGAUGGAUGGAGUGGCACCUAUGGAAUUGGCACCUGGCCUCUAUAACAUGGCGAAACACAAGAUGAUUUCUGUGGCUGAUGCUAUUCGCGAGGGUGGAUGGAUGAAGGGGCUGCAGCGCAUGGCCUCGGCUGAACUGCUGUAGUCAUUUGUUUCUCUUUGGCAUAAAGUUCAGCAAUUCAGCUUAAAUGGAAAGGAGGAUAAGAUCACUUGGAACAUCUCGGCCAAUGGGAACCACUCAGCCAAGUCUGCAUAUGAGCAGCAAUUCAUUGUGCGUAUUCCAAUGUCGCGCUUAUUAAAAGUGUGGAAGGUGAAGGCUGAAUCUAAGGUCCAAUUCUCCUCCUCUAUCAACACCUGGUGGGAUAAGACGUUCAAACUAAAGAAAAAAGGAGUAGUGCUGGACGAGUGCACGGGGGCUGUGUACGUGGCUUGGAACCUAUGGAACGAGCGCAACAGGCGGAUCUUUCAGAAUUAACGGCGCUCUGCCGCGGGGGUAUGUUCUUUGAUUAGGGAUGAAUUAGGCCUCCUGAAGGAGGCAUGGGAGUAG
rnacentral:rRNA from 1 species